GAGCCCGUGGCUCAGUGGUUAGAGCGUUGGACUUACGAUCAACGGUUCGCGGGCUCG
rnacentral:tRNA from 1 species